UUUACAAAAAAGUUUACCAAAUACUCUACUGCUUUAUUUUACAGCUGUUUAUUCUCACAGCACAGCAGAAACAACUUUUUUUCAAAGCACAGCAAUACCAAACUAGCCCUUAGAAUCUGAAAUAAAGCAGAAGUAUCCCCACUUGUUUGAGUGACUCUGCAAAUUUCGGAGGCAAAAUUUAUUUUAAAGGGGGUGGAAUGUAAAACCCCCAAAAUAUAUAUUUAGUUAUGUGGAGCUUGUAAAAGUUUAGAUGGGUUAAAGUGGGUGUGUUAAAAAAAAAAAAGAAAAAAAACAAAACUGACAUAAGGAAUGGAGAACAUGUGCGCGUAAGAUGAUCCCUUCAUCUUUAGGUGUGUUGGUGCACUGUUUCCAAAAUGGCAGAAAGGAAGAGAAACUGUCAUGGGUUCUCUUUAGGCGUCGAAGAAAGAAAAAUGUAUGGGUUAAUUUCUAGACAUCAGAAUUGCAAUCCAUUUUCGCCUCUAUGAUCACAACGUUGAGCUCUCCGAACGAAGUGCUAUUUGGUUGAAUUGAGAGUUUUUGAAGUCUCAAGGCUGGUUGAACAAUAUUAUUGAAGAAGAUAGAGGCACUUUCUUGGCUUAAGCAAGAUCAAGAGCUAAGAGCGAACAAUUGUGGAAAGAGUUAGUACUUGAAGCUUGGAAUAUCAGGUGUUGUGCGAGAAAUAGUAGAAGAGUUGGACUUAGGUGUGCGGUUGUAGCUUGUCAACCUCAAAGCUUCGAAUCAAAAAAUCAUCUUUUGAAAUAGGCCUUGCGUAUCUUAAGGACAUAGGAGCAUUGCCAUGUUCUAAGAAUGGAGCAUACAACUCUCAUGUGUUUUUAGGAUUCGCGACGCUGUCACUAGCGGCCUUGAAGACCUGACCCAAGUUGGCCUCCCCGCGCCCCUGCGUGCCGAUCCCCUUAGCCUGAGCCGAGUCGAGCCCCUGGCCCAUGCCAGUCGACCUUCUUGCCACACCACCAUCAGCCCUGUGGUGAAGAUGCCAUGUCACUCACACCCCCCUUCGGCCCCCGUCGAGCCAAUUUUUCAAGUCCCAAGACUCCCAAAAAUUCAAGAAGAAGAAAAUUCAAAUUUUUCUUACCUUGGUGCGGCACAGAGAAGAAGAACAACAGCGAGAGACGAUUCUUUGCAAGGGCAAGAGAAGAAGAAAGCUAAGGUAGGGGAAGAAAAAUUUCCUCUGCCUUAUCUUCCUUGUUGGAAUAAUGAUUACACUCCAAAUUUAUUUAAUCCCUUGCUUAAGGUAAAAUUAAAUAGGAAUUGGGGGCAAUUGGUGUCAUUUUCCUAGAAGAAGUCUAUCUCCAAAACAAAAAAGGAGAUCAAGUUCAAAUUGGGAAAUAACUCUACAAACCCAAGCAACUUGGGAUUUCUACACUACCAUCCUUUCCUGCGUGCAGCCUAGUAGGUGUAGGGGCUUUUGUAGAGCCUAAAAUAAUCCCAAAAAUUCUAGAGGCGACAGGUGAAC